rnacentral:sRNA from 1 species
UAAAAAUUAAAUGGAAAGCUAGGUAGGAGCUACUUUAGAUUAUUACUAGAUUUUAACCCGCGGUAUACCGCCGAGACAAUUUACUUUUUUAAAUUAAUAUAUAUAAAAGUUUGCAAAUUAUAUUUAUCUAUAAAAUAUUUUUAUUUUCUAGUUUACAAUUGUUAUUAAGUAAAGUCCUUUCAAACCCGUCUUGCCAAACCCGUCCCGUAAAAAAACCUGAAGUACACCGAUAAUUUAAAUAUAUAAUUAAAAUAAAUAUUUUACGGGAUUGCAAUUGUAUUUUAGUUUGUCAAACAAAUUUUUGUUUUAAAUAGUUGCCAAAAAUAAGAUUUAGUGAAUUGAUAAGAAAUGUAUUUAGAUGCGUUUUGCUCAUUUUAAGGGAUUGCAAUUGUAUUUUGGUUUGUCAAACAUUUUUUGUUUUAAAUAGUUGUCAAAAUCUAGUUCAAAUUUUGGAAAAACCUGCGUGAUAUAUGGGAUUGGAAGAUAUUUAGAAUGUUUUUCGUUUGUUAAUCAAUUUCUUGCCAAAAAAACCAUUAA